AUUCGCGGCCUAUCAGCUUGUUGGUGAGGUAACGGCUCACCAAGGCAACGACGGGUAGCUGGUCUGAGAGGACGAUCAGCCACACUGGGACUGAGACACGGCCCAGACUCCUACGGGAGGCAGCAGUGGGGAAUCUUGCACAAUGGGCGAAAGCCUGAUGCAGCGACGCCGCGUGCGGGAUGAAGGCCUUAGGGUUGUAAACCGCUUUCAGCAGGGAAGAAACUGACGGUACCUGCAGAAGAAGGUGCGGCCAACUACGUGCCAGCAGCCGCGGUAACACGUAGGCACCAAGCGUUGUCCGGAUUUAUUGGGCGUAAAGAGCUCGUAGGCGGUUCGGUAAGUCGGGUGUGAAAACUCUGGGCUCAACCCAGAGAUUGCACCCGAUACUGCUGUGACUAGAGUGCGGUAGGGGAGCGGGGAAUUCCUGGUGUAGCGGUGAAAUGCGCAGAUAUCAGGAGGAACACCAGUGGCGAAGGCGCCGCUCUGGGCCGUAACUGACGCUGAGGAGCGAAAGCAUGGGUAGCAAACAGGAUUAGAUACCCUGGUAGUCCAUGCCGUAAACGUUGGGCACUGGGUGUGGGUCUCAACCAACGAGAUCCGCGCCGUCGCUAACGCAUUAAGUGCCCCGCCUGGGGAGUACGGAAU
rnacentral:rRNA from 1 species